UCCGUAGGUGAACCUGCGGAAGGAUCAUUACCGAGUGUAGGGUUCCUAGCGAGCCCAACCUCCCACCCGUGUUUACUGUACCUUAGUUGCUUCGGCGGGCCCGCCAUUCAUGGCCGCCGGGGGCUCUCAGCCCCGGGCCCGCGCCCGCCGGAGACACCACGAACUCUGUCUGAUCUAGUGAAGUCUGAGUUGAUUGCAUCGCAAUCAGUUAAAACUUUCAACAAUGGAUCUCUUGGUUCCGGCAUCGAUGAAGAACGCAGCGAAAUGCGAUAACUAGUGUGAAUUGCAGAAUUCCGUGAAUCAUCGAGUCUUUGAACGCACAUUGCGCCCCCUGGUAUUCCGGGGGGCAUGCCUGUCCGAGCGUCAUUGCUGCCCAUCAAGCACGGCUUGUGUGUUGGGUCGUCGUCCCCUCUCCGGGGGGGACGGGCCCCGAAGGCAGCGGCGGCACCGCGUCCGAUCCUCGAGCGUAUGGGGCUUUGUCACCCGCUCUGUAGGCCCGGCCGGCGCUUGCCGAACGCAAAUCAAUCUUUUUCCAGGUUGACCUCGGAUCAGGUAGGGAUACCCGCUGAACUUAAGCAUAUCAAUAAGCGGAGGA
rnacentral:rRNA from 1 species